rnacentral:rRNA from 1 species
CCUGGCCUUGACAUACUAAGAACUUUCCAGAGAUGGAUUGGUGCCUUCGGGAACUUAGAUACAGGUGCUGCAUGGCUGUCGUCAGCUCGUGUCGUGAGAUGUUGGGUUAAGUCCCGCAACGAGCGCAACCCUUUUCCUUAUUUGCCAGCGGGUUAAGCCGGGAACUUUAAGGAUACUGCCAGUGACAAACUGGAGGAAGGCGGGGACGACGUCAAGUCAUCAUGGCCCUUACGGCCAGGGCCACACACGUGCUACAAUGGUCGGUACAAAGGGUUGCUACCUCGCGAGAGGAUGCUAAUCUCAAAAAGCCGAUCGUAGUCCGGAUCGCAGUCUGCAACUCGACUGCGUGAAGUCGGAAUCGCUAGUAAUCGCGGAUCAGAAUGCCGCGGUGAAUACGUUCCCGGGCCUUGUACACACCGCCCGUCACACCAUGGGAGUUUGUUGCACCAGAAGUAGGUAGUCUAACCGCAAGGAGGACGCUUACCACGGUGUGGCCGAUGACUGGGGUGAAGUCGUAACAAGGUAGGCGUAGAUGA